UGGGGAAUAUUGGACAAUGGGCGAAAGCCUGAUCCAGCCAUGCCGCGUGUGUGAAGAAGGUCUUCGGAUUGUAAAGCACUUUAAGUUGGGAGGAAUGGCAUUAACCUAAUACGUUAGUGUUUUGACGUUACCGACAGAAUAAGCACCGGCUAACUCUGUGCCAGCAGCCGCGGUAAUACAGAGGGUGCAAGCGUUAAUCGGAAUUACUGGGCGUAAAGCGCGCGUAGGUGGUUUGUUAAGUUGGAUGUGAAAUCCCCGGGCUCAACCUGGGAACUGCAUUCAAAACUGACUGACUAGAGUAUGGUAGAGGGUGGUGGAAUUUCCUGUGUAGCGGUGAAAUGCGUAGAUAUAGGAAGGAACACCAGUGGCGAAGGCGACCACCUGGACUAAUACUGACACUGAGGUGCGAAAGCGUGGGGAGCAAACA
rnacentral:rRNA from 1 species